rnacentral:rRNA from 1 species
GAUGAACGCUGGCGGCGUGCCUAAUACAUGCAAGUAGAACGCUGAAGGAAGGAGCUUGCUCUUUCCGGAUGAGUUGCGAACGGGUGAGUAACGCGUAGGUAACCUGCCUGGUAGCGGGGGAUAACUAUUGGGAACGAUAGCUAAUACCGCAUAACAGUAGAUGUUGCAUGAUAUCUACUUAAAAGGUGCAAUUGCACCACUACCAGAUGGACCUGCGUUGUAUUAGCUAGUUGGGUAGGUAACGGCUCACCAAGGCGACGAUACAUGGCCGACCUGGGAGGGUGGUCGGCCACCAUGGGACUGAGACCCGGCCCAGACUCCUACGGGAGGCAACAGUAGGGGAACAUCGGAAAUGGACGGAAGUCUGACCGAGCACCGCCGCGUGAGUGCAGAAGGUUUUCGGAUCGUAAAGCUCUGUUGUAAGAGAAGAACGAGUGUGAGAGUGGAAAGUUCACACUGUGACGGUAUCUUACCAGAAAGGGACGGCUAACUACGUG